GGAAAGGCCCAAUAAUGGAAUGAUGGUUUGGCAGGAGCACCUCUCCAGCACUUUUAAAAAAACACCCCAGAGGAUUUUCUUAUACCACCGUUUCUGCAAGAAUGAGAAGAGAACAGUCGGGGAGUGGGAAGCUUCACUAAAAGCGGCAGCAGGCCCCAGGGAAGAGAGCGCAUGGCAGCCCUUGGCCCCUCACAGGUGGCAUGGAGACAGCUCUCCCAACCUAAAAGGAUGCGUGUGUACCACAUAAUAUGAAGGAGAAAAAAACUCAGAAAAUCAGAAAGAAAACAUUAAAAUAAUCUCCAUUCCACAGGAAACAUCACAUUUUAUUUUAUUAUUUUAAUUUUUUUGAGACGGAGUCUCGCUCUGUUGCCCAGGCUGUAGUGCAAUGGCAUGAUCUCAGCUCACUGCGAGCUCCGCCUCCUGGGUUCACGCCAUUCUCCUGCCUCAGCCUCCUGAGUAGCAGGGAUUACAGGCGCCCACCACCACGACCGGCUAAUUUUUUGUAUUUUUUUUUUUUUUUUAGUAAAGACAGGGUUUCACCAUGUUAGCCAGGAUGGUCU
rnacentral:lncRNA from 1 species